rnacentral:rRNA from 1 species
CCCUUAGACGUUCUGGGCCGCACGCGCGCUACACUGAACAGUUCAACAAGUCUUAACCUUGGCCGAUAGGUCUGGGUAAUCUUUGAACGCUGUUCGUGAUUGGGAUAGACCUUUGCAAUUAUGGGUCUUCAACGAGGAAUUCCUAGUAAACGCAAGUCAUCAGCUUGCAUUGAUUACGUCCCUGCCCUUUGUACACACCGCCCGUCGCACCUACCGAUUGAAUGGUCCGGUGAAAUCUCGGGACGGCGGCUUGGUCGCUUGCGUCCGACUGCUGAAACUUGAUUAAACCAUAUCAUUUAGAGGAAGGUGAAGUCGUAACA